GUGGGGAAUAUUGCGCAAUGGGGGAAACCCUGACGCAGCGACGCCGCGUGAGCGAAGAAGGCCUUAGGGUUGUAAAGCUCUGUUUUAAGGGACGAAUGUCGUGGGGAGUAAUAUGCUCUGCGAAUGACGGUACCUUAAGAGGAAGCCCCGGCUAACUACGUGCCAGCAGCCGCGGUAAGACGUAGGGGGCGAGCGUUGUCCGGAAUUACUGGGCGUAAAGAGCACGUAGGCGGGAACUUAAGUCAGGUGUGAAAGACCGGGGCUCAACUCCGGGGUUGCACUUGAAACUGGGUUUCUUGAGGGCAGGAGAGGAAAGCAGAAUUCCUGGUGUAGCGGUGAAAUGCGUAGAAAUCAGGAGGAAUACCAGUGGCGAAGGCGGCUCACUGGCUCGAUACUGACGCUGAGGUGCGAAAGCGUGGGGAGCAAACAGGAUUAGAAACCCCUGUAGUCC
rnacentral:rRNA from 1 species